UGCGUGGAGAACGUGACUGAACCAGGCCAGCUGCUGGAGGCAGACCUGCCUGUGGAGAGACCCCCCGAGACCCUGGGGGAGGCGGCGCAGGACACCCAGCAAGGUGGAGCGGAGGGGAGUGUCUGCAGCCGCUGCUGCACCCGGAUCCCCACUCCCCACCACUGUCCUGCUCCCAGUGGGGACUCGAGGGGGAUACAGCUGUGCAUGUCCUGCAUGGGCACCCUGGACACAGGCGGUCUAGGAACCACUGCAGCAGCUGGAGACCAACUGCUUCCAGCAGCCAAGGCAGAGGAUGGAGCCCUUGGCAGUGACCCUGUGCUGAGCCGGGAGGAGCUUGACGCGCUGCUAGGGGAGAGCACGUGGGAUGGGAUCUUGCAGUGGGCAUUCCAGACCAUGGCACGGCCGCUGGCAGAAACACAGGGGCUCCUUGCCUAGUGCAGACACCAAGCAGCACAAUCCACAUGGCAACCAAUGAGAAAGAAAGCUCGGAGACACACGUAAAACAAGAUGAAUGCAGGCAUAAUGAUAGCACAAAGAAGUCACAGAAUACAACACUGACCGUCAACAGGACAACCGACAAUGGCACAAACAGAGCAAAAUGGCAGGCUACACCCACUGACACUCAGCAGAGAACAAGCGCACUGAAAAUGUACAUAAAAUACAGGCCAGAGCAAAUAAAAUUCA
rnacentral:lncRNA from 1 species